rnacentral:rRNA from 1 species
CCUACGGGGGGCAGCAGUGGGGGAUAUUGCACAAUGGAGGAAACUCUGAUGCAGCGACGCCGCGUGAGGGAAGACGGUCUUCGGAUUGUAAACCUCUGUCUUUGGGGAAGAAAAUGACGGUACCCAAAGAGGAAGCUACGGCUAACUACGUGCCAGCCGCCGCGGUAAUACGUAGGAAGCGUGCGUUGUCGGGAAUGACUGGGUGUAAAGGGAGCGUAGGCGGGCGGGAAAGUUGAAUGUUAAAUCCACUGGCUUAACUGGGAGCGGCGUUUGAAACUUCUUGUCUUGAGUGAAGUAAAGGCAGGCGGAAUUCCUAGUGUAGCGGUGAAAUGCGUAGAUAUUAGGAGGAACACCAGUGGCGAAGGCGGCCUGCUGGGCUUUAACUGACGCUGAGGCUCGAAAGCGUGGGGAGCAAACAGGAUUAGAUACCCGAGUAGUC